ensembl:lncRNA
UUUUUUUCUUUUUUUUUUUUUUUUGAGACAGGGUCUUGCUCUGUCACCCAGGUUGGAGUGCAGUGGUGCCAUCAUGGCUCACUGCAGCCUCAACCUCUUGGGCUCAAGCGAUCUCAGCCUCCCAAGUAGCUGGGACCACAGGCAUGCACCACCAAGUCUGGCUAAAUUUUUCUAAUUUUUUGUAGAAAUGGGGUCUCCCUGUGUUGCCCAGACUGGUCUCAAAUUCUUGGGCUCAAGUGAUCCUCCCGCCUUGGCCUCUAGGCCUUGCAAAGUGCUGGGAUUACAGGCAUGAGUCAUGGCUCUCGACUUUUUUUUUUUUGGUAGCGGGGGCGGGGCAGGGUCUUGGUCUGUCACCCAUGCUGGAGGGCAGCUGCAUGAUCAUAGCUCACUGCAGCCUCAAACUCCUAGGCCUCAGCCUCCUGAGUAGCUGGUUCUACAGGCAUGCACCACAACGCCCAGCUAAUUUUUAAAUUUUUUGUAGAGAUGUGUCUUGAACUCCUGGGCUCAUGAUCCUCCUACCUCAGUCUUCCAAAGUCCUGAGAUUACAGGCAUGAGCCACUGGGCUCAGGCUAGGAGUCAAAUUUUAUUGCACACCUAAUUUAUGUCAAAUACAGCACCAGGCAUUUUUACAUACUUAUUUCACUUGGAAGCAAACAGCAAUGCUACUGAAAUAUUUAUUACUAUCUCCAUUUUACAGAUGAAGAACUUUGCCAGGAAGGGUUGCUAGAAAUAGGAAAAGGUGGAUGUAAGUCCGGCUUCUAGAACCCCAAAGUCCAGUCUCCCCCUCCCACUGGGAGUGCUGACCCCUAGUCUAUGUUCCAUCUCCCCACUUCUUUGCCCUGACAGUAGGGUGGAGGGGGGUAGUGUCACAAUGUCAGAGCUGUGUGGUGCCUUAGAGACAUACAUGGCCUAACACCCUGCCUUUGCAAACAAGAACUCUGAAAAGUUAUUUCCUAAGAAAAAAAAAGCACAUUUUCAUCAAGUCUCAUCCAACACACGAACUAGCUGAUGUCAGUUCAUGGAACUAAGCAAGCUCCUGGCCCACAGCUCUGCUCCCCUCUCCCCACUGUGACUACAGAAGCAGGUGUCACUGUGUCCCUGUUAAAGUGGGAGAUGCUAAGUCCUAGAUGAAUUCGGAGACUGAGACUCAUUCAAGGGGUCAGUGGAAAGGCCAGGGUCCUUGUCCUGUUCUGAUUUCUACCACGCUGACUCUCAAGACUGCGGCCUUCCAAAAAUUAUGCCUGUGACAAAAAACCCAGAUGUUUACUGUGUUAAGAUUAAGUGUGUUAGUUCUCUACGUUAUAUGAACAGAGGCAUUCUAGGUGAAAGAGAAAGAAUACAGAGAUAAAAGCAGCUUCAUGUGGCAAGUAGCUUUGACCUGGGGGUCAACAGCAGGUUUUAGGAUUUAGAUGAGGUCUGGGAACGCAGUGUUCCCCACACUGGAUUCAUUCUUUACGAGCAGCCUAUUAGCAGACAGGGAGGGAGAAAGCUUCAUCUUAGCAGAAAUGCCAUUGCAAAACGGAAGUGCUAGAAUACUGAUUCUCCCCCAACAGCAAAAAUGAUGGAGACUGUGGUUAAUAACUGCUUUUCUGCAACCCUUUAACCCCUCAACCCCAGAUGUUCAGGCACAACCUAUUUUCUCUCUGGAAUUGGCUUCCUGAUGUGAGGAAGCCAUGCCGUGGGUGGCAAAAAUAUGACUCUGGUGCUUGGCACAAGGCAUGUAACUGAAGCAGCUGCGGUCGGAUCCCAUGUCCCACCGAGAGGAAAGGCAGAUGAGGACUCGG